AGGGGAGAAAAUAAAAGCCUCUGUUUGGUGAUGGUAGGUGAGGAAUUGGGCCAGGUGACAUGCCUCAUUCUUGGUCACUUCACAACUUACCAUUGGCUGCAGCUGGAUACAGAGUCUCCAGACUCAGAUGAGAGUUAAUUGUGACGUCAGUCCAGUCCUGGGUGUGUGGAGGGCUGCACAGUGACGGGUAAAUCUACAGUACAGCAGGAGAGAGGAGAAAUCCCUCAGCAUGGGGACUGCUGUCCUGUCAUGUGCUGCAUUGCUAUUGAGAAACAGAGGGACUCUGACCUGUAGGAGGUGGAGGUGAUCCUCAGUGUGUGAGAUCUGCUCCAGCUCAGUGUUUCUCCUCUUUAGCUCAGUGAUUUCCUGCUCCAGCUCUUUAAUCAACUCUUCAGCCUGCUUCUCUGCUGCUUUCUGCUUCUCCUCCAUCGCCUUUGGCACCUCAGCUGCACUUCUCUUAAUGCCGUGCAUCAGUUUGCUGAAGAUCUCCACACUGUCUUCUUUCUCCUUCUCUGUGUUUUUCUAAAUGAAACAAAUUAAAUUUAUAUGCAAUGAUUCUUUUUUUUUUUUGCUCAAUCAAUGGAUUUUUUGUAAAUUUCUUUAUAAACAGAUUUUUGUGGAGAGUCCUCAAACAAAUCUCUUCACGGUGUAGAUAAAGUUUUAUCAAACUUAACAAAAAAGGGAAAGAAAUAAAAUCUGAUUAAUGCAGUAUCUAAAUUAAAUAAAUGGUAUUUAUUAUUCUUACAUUGUAAAGUCCUUAGUAGCAACAAUUCCAUCCAUCCAUCUGUUUUCCCUACUGUUUAUCCUACACAAGGUUGUAUGGGAGCUUGAAGCCUAUCCCAGCCAAUCAUCCUACAGGAUAUGUCUUUGGACAGGGGUGUCACGGUUUCCCCUUUAAGCAGCGCGCGGUAGAGCAUGUGAGCGCGCGUGCACGAGCAAGGUGCGCGUGCACGAGCAAGGUGCGCGAGCACCUGCUUUUCGUUUAUUGACAGUCGUGACAUCGUGUACAUUGAACACGUGCUUUUCUUAUGUUUCUAACAUUUUGAUACGCUGGUUUCUCCGCUCCCAGUCCCUCGCUAUUGUUCAUGUUUCUUGUUUUGUAUAUCAACCCUGUAAUUCCGUGACCACUACAUUGUUUCCGGCCGUGCCCAGUUCAUGCCUGUUUGCCGAUCGCCUGACCUAUGCAUGUUUCUGGAUUACAUUUGUGGAUUACGAUUUGCAUUUACCUUCCUGUGUCACUCAUAAAUAAAACCGUCAAACUGCAAUUGCAUCCAUCCUUAUCUUCGUUACGUCUCGAGACAUGACAAGGGGGAGGAAGCCUGCGUACCCAGAGGAAACCCCUAAACACAUGAAGGGAUUUGGACCCCCAGCACUGGAGGGGCGAGGCAAAUGUCUUUUAUCCACUAAGCCACUGUGCCCCCACAACAAUUCCUUGGUCAUCAGCAUCAUUGUUGUGGAGCUAAUCAUUUUGGAACCAAUGCACUGCUUUAUGUUCUACUAUGUGGGAUUUUUUUUCAAAAGCCAGACUUUUAGCACUCUCUAGAAAAUCUGAUCAGUCUGAGUUUGAGACUAACACCGUUUUGGUCAAACGUUUUUAGAUUCAUGCACGUUAUCAUGGAUAUGCCAUACAUAAUCAAACCCUUAGGAAUGAAAAGAGAGAUUAUCAGAAAAGGCUUAACAUGAAGAAAUAUUUUCUGACGAAUAUCUUCCGUAGCCUUAUGAUGGUCAUAAAGAAAAACUUCUUGUGAAAUAGGAAGUUAUUAAUUACCCAGCUUUCAACAUUAACUGGUUCAAAUUUGGUGUAGUUUUCUAUACGUUUGCACAUUAAAAAUGUAUUGUAUCCA